CGGUGAAUACGUUCCCGGACCUUGUACACACCGCCCGUCAAGCCAUGGAAGCUGGGUGUACCUAAAGUCGGUAACCGCAAGGAGCCGCCUAGGGUAAAACUAGUAACUGGGCU
rnacentral:rRNA from 1 species